GGAGGGAUCGCAUAGAGGUCUAGUGCGGGCGCCUGCUAAGCGCUUAACCUGUGAAAGCGGGUUCAUGGGUUCGAAUCCCAUUCCCUCCGCCA
rnacentral:tRNA from 1 species